AAUGGAGGAAACUCUGAUGCAGCGAUGCCGCGUGAGUGAAGAAGGCCCUUGGGUUGUAAAGCUCUUUCGUCGGGGAAGAAAAUGACUGUACCCGAAUAAGAAGGUCCGGCUAACUUCGUGCCAGCAGCCGCGGUAAUACGAAGGGACCUAGCGUAGUUCGGAAUUACUGGGCUUAAAGAGUUCGUAGGUGGUUGAAAAAGUUAGGGUGAAAUCCCAGAGCUUAACUCUGGAACUGCCAUUAAAACUUUUCAGCUAGAGUAUGAUAGAGGAAAGCAGAAUUUCUAGUGUAGAGGUGAAAUUCGUAGAUAUUAGAAAGAAUACCAAUUGCGAAGGCAGCUUUCUGGAUCAUUACUGACACUGAGGAACGAAAGCAUGGGUAGCAAACAGGAUU
rnacentral:rRNA from 1 species